rnacentral:rRNA from 1 species
GUAGGUCCCGAGCGUUGUCCGGAUUUAUUGGGCGUAAAGCGAGCGCAGGCGGUUAGAUAAGUCUGAAGUUAAAGGCUGUGGCUUAACCAUAGUACGCUUUGGAAACUGUUUAACUUGAGUGCAAGAGGGGAGAGUGGAAUUCCAUGUGUAGCGGUGAAAUGCGUAGAUAUAUGGAGGAACACCGGUGGCGAAAGCGGCUCUCUGGCUUGUAACUGACGCUGAGGCUCGAAAGCGUGGGGAGCAAACAGGAUUAGAUACCCUGGUAGUCCACGCCGUAAACGAUGAGUGCUAGGUGUUAGACCCUUUCCGGGGUUUAGUGCCGCAGCUAACGCAUUAAGCACUCCGCCUGGGGAGUACGACCGCAAGGUUG